ACUCUGCUGAUAGCUUUCAUAAUGCACCCGACUCCCACUUAGUACAACAAUGAACCCACCGAUCGCUCACUCAAGUGUUCUUUCCUUGCAUCCAAACAUCACAUAUACAUAGGCCUACUCAUCUGUCUCUUACUGAGUGAUUCAUUCUGAACGCUGCACAGCUAAAUCACAACAUCUCUACUUUCAUACUCUCCCGGCUAUCUCAGUUUUCCAAGCUUUUCAUGCUUCACCUUUCAAACCUGCCUCAGUGUACAAGAAUUGAUAGCUAGAAAUCGAACUCGAAACCCAUCCAUCUUUCUCACAUUUUCACACUCACCCCAUCCAUCCUUCUGUCACUCUGUUGUUCCCUCCUCUGUUAGUUCCUUCCAUUUUUGUUUGGGACAUUCAUUAUUCCCUGCCUCUUCAAAUCUGUGCCAUCUUUGGUUUCCUAAGCUAUGUGACAACUAAUAGUCUGCUCUGCCUCAGUUUCUUCAUUUUGAAGUGAGAAUAAUAGGAGCACUUACCUCACACUUAAUAAGAUAAUAUUAGUAAAGUGCUUAUCACAGUGCCUGACACAUAGUAGGUUCUUAAUAAAUGCUUAUUUCCUUUUCCUCCUCUUCCCUUUUUUUCCUCUUUCCUUUCCUUUCCUUCCAUUCCUUUUUGGCCCUCUUAUAUUCUAUGUACAUUUGUAGAGUUGACUCUGCCAUCGUAGAAGAAGAUAAACCGGGUUCCUCCAUAUGAUGUCAGUGUUUGUUGUGGGAAGUUCUGUAUCUGAUUGACAAACAUAUCGAAUUAUGUUCCCACUCACUAAUUAUGAAAUACAAAUGAAAACACCGCUUCAAUUUCACAGAUUGGUAAACACGAAAACAAGAGACAAAUGUUAAAUACCUGUCCAAAUGAGUGUGAAAAUCUUGUCAGUGAGGAGAGCUGUGAGGAGCUCUUGGGAUUUGGGGAAACAUUUUGCUAUCAGCAUAUAAGCCAUUAAACCUACAUUUAUACUUGCUAUGUCAACAUUACUCAUAUAAACACACGAUCUAUAGAUCUAUUUUCCAGUUGGACACUCACAUGCAUGUAUGUUCACAUAUCCUACAUAUAUGAAAGAGAAACAAAAAGAAAGUACCCAUCCUUGUGGUAGCAAAGCAGGGGAAGGAAAGCCACAUGGUCUUGAGAAUGGCAGGACAGAUUGUGGUGGGCAGAUGUCAUGGAUUCUCAUUGUUCUGUGAACCAAAACAGAGACAAAUAUUAAGUAUUCAGAAAAAAUUAAGAAGCUUUGGAUAUGGUAGUGCAAAACAAAGUAAGUGGAAAGUAGGAGAGAACUUUACACGAAGGCCACUAGAAUAUUCAAUAAAAUAACACAGGAAAGUUCCGAGUUCUACUCACUGUAGGAACUUGCUCAUGACAGGUCACGUGUGGCUUCUUCCUUCUUCAGAGAGGUAGGGCACAAAUAAGGCCUACAUUGGUAGUCAAGGGCAAUAUAGCGCUUUGUUUUUCUGAAUUGCAAUGGAAUGCCAUUGAAACAUAGGACAACGUCAAUAGGAGGAUUUCAGAGAAUCUUGGGAAAACUCUCCCUUGAUCCUACCAUCCACACUAGAUAUCCCUCCAUUUAUAUAUACUCCUCUACUCUGCUGUGUCCCCCAUCUGUAUCCUUUCAUCUGUCUCUGUGUCCCGGUGUUCAUGUUUGUCUGUGACCCUGUCUUUUCCCACUUGCUCGUGUGUCUGCGUCCAUGUGUCUACAUGCUUCCUUGGUCACCAUCAUUUUCAUCUCUCUGUCUCUUCCUCUUUGGUACAGAUCUCCUUGAUAAAGCCAUCUACAGCUGCUGCCUCCACUUUAUUCACUGUUCCAAACUCUGUCCUCUAGCUUCCAACCUCAUCCUUCCACUAUUUCCUCUAAUGAUCCCCUACUUGCUAAACCCAAUGGCCUUUUCUCAGUCCUCAUCCUUCUUGACCUGUACGUUGCAUUCAGUGCGUUUAAAGAGGCCCCUUUUCCUGGAUAGUCUAAAUGUUUCUGGUUUUUGUAAACUUUGUUCUUUCUUGGUUCUUCUCCUGUCUGUCUCAUCAUUCAUUCUCCAUCUCCUUUGCUGGAUCAUCAUCUAAAUCAUACUUACUAAAUCUGUGCCCCCAAAGCCUUUGCCUUGAGCCAUCUUCUCUUUUCUCUUUCUAAUUGUCAUUUGAUGACUGUGUCAGUUCCCAUGAGUUUAUUGAUCAUAUCUAUAUAAAUGAUUUGGAGAUACCUAUAUUCAGCCCUCGUUUCUCUCCUGAGAUCUAGGAUUACAAAUUACCUAUUUUACAACUGGAUGCCUUCUAGGUAUAUCAGAUUCAACACGUGCAAAACAGAACACAUUUUCUUGCUCUAUCCAUAUGCUCUGUGUCCCUAAUCUGUGUGUCCAGCUUUUCUGGCCACAUGUAUCUCCUGGUUUGUCUAGUUACUAAUUUUUCUAUAUCUUUCACAGGUCUGUGUGUCUCCCAUCUUCAUGUAUCAUCUGUGUAUGUCCCUCUGGCUAGCCACGAGGCUCUCUGAAUAUCCACAGAUUGUCCCAUCUCUUUCCCAAAAUUUGUGCAUCUACCCAGCUUAUUCUUUUAUUUGUCCCUCUCUAUACAUUUACUUUUGUCUGUAAGUGCCCAUUUGUCUGUUCUUCCCUUUGCUUUUGUAUCCUCUUUGUCCAUGUGAAUUCAUAUAUUACCAUAUUCACGCUGUGUAUCUUCAGCUAUAUCCCCCACCUCCUGCCUCUGUUCCCCCAGAUAUUGAAGAGGCCCUCAAGCGAUCCACAUGUUCCCCAGCUGUUUAUAUCCCACCUUAUAUCUGGGCAUAUUUCCCCCAUUUGUCCUUCCAUUUGAAUUGUCUUAGGAAGAUUCUAAAAAUACUUGGCAAGAUAAGGUACCAGAUGCCGAGGUCCUCUCUCGACUUGCUUUGAGCACCAAAGACAAAAGCAAAUCCCCAUCUGUAUUCCCCUUCGGGUGUGCAUCCCUCCAUUUAUAUAUACUCCUCUACUCUACUGUGUCCCCCCCUAUCUUUAUCCUUUCAUCUGUCUCUGUGUCCCAGUGUUCAUUUUUAUCUGUAACCGUGUCUUUUCCCACAUGCUCGUGUGUCUGCAUCCAUGUGUCUACAUGCUUCCUUGGUCACCAUUCCCAUAUGUUCCCUUGUGCUGCUAUGUCCUGUCCCCCUCGCUCAUUUUCCCCAUUUGUGUUUCUCCCAGUUGUCGCUGCCCCAUGUCUAAGCAGCCCUAUUUGAUUCACCAUAUAGAUGUUUCUUUUAGAGCUCUCAUUUAUUUGACAUGUCUUCCAUCUGUCUCUUGGUAUCCCACUACCAGUGUGUGUUUCUCAUCUGUCAUUUCCCUCCAUUUCUCUUUUGUUCUAUCUCUAUUGCCCCUUUGUGUGUCUAUCUGACUCUCCUUCUGCCCAUAGGUCCUCAUCAGUGUGUCUCUGUAUUUACCCUCCCUGCUUCUACGUACGCUCUGUCAGCGUGUAUACCCUCUAUGUUUCUGUGUCUACCCAUGCCUCCUCACCUGGGAUAUUCCUUGUCUUUGGGUCUUCUUUGUUCCCGUCCAUUGUAUACGUCCUCAUCUGAGUCCCACUUCCUUCGUGUAUCCCUGUCUUGUUAUCCGAUGUCUGUUUGUCCUGCUUCUGUUUUUUAAAUAAUAGCUCUAUUUAUCAAAAUAUAUUCAGAGAGUUUUCAACAUGCACCAAAAAACCUUGGGUUCCAAAUUUGUCCCCCUCCCUUCCUCUCCACCUCUCCCUUCCCCUAGAUAGCAAGCAAUCUAAUAUAGAUAAAUCAUGUGUAAUGCUUGUAAACGUCUUUUCAUAAUUAUCAUGCUGCACAAGAAAAAUCACAUCAAAUGGGGAAAAAUGAGAAAGAAAAAAAAACCAAGCAAGCAAAUAACAGUAGCAAAAAAGGAGAAAAUACUUUGAUGUGCUCCCCAUUCAGUCGCAUAGUUCUCUCUGGAUGCAGCCGGCUCUCUCCAUCAUAUGUCCAUAGGAAUUGGCCUGAAUCGUCUCAUUGUUGAGGAGUCAUGUCAUGCUUCUGUUUGUACAUGUCUCUAUGCCCCAUUCUACAUAUCACAUAUGUCUGUUCCCAAUCUGUUUGUUGCCAAAUCCUCCCAUUUAAGCACCUGGUCUACGACUGUCAACCCUUCUUCCUGUCUGUAUGUCCUCCUCUGUAAGGACAUUUCUGUGUUCCCUCCACUCCCCUCUGGUCCAUAGGGAUCACUUUUGUCAGUCUGGGUCUCUGUCUACCAUUUGUCCACAUCACCCUCCUUGGGAGUUCCCUCUGCCCACCUGUGCAUGUCCUGUCUGUUUUGUCCCAUUCUGCCCUCCUCUCUGUCCCUAUGUUUGUGUGCCCCAACUAUACCUUCCCUUAUGUGGAUCUCAUCUGGGUCUCCGUGGCAGUCUGUGUUUCAUCUGUCUCUCCAUUGGUGUGCCCACUCCCUUCUCUAUCUGUCAUGUCUGUGUGGCCCUUGUCUGGUCAUGUGCCCCUUCUUGUGUACGUGAAUGGGCAUGACCCCAUCUGGGUGCAUCUCCUUGUCAGGGCUCUCUGCCUGCAUCUGCUCCUGUUCCUGUAUGUCUCUCCCCCAUUCAUUUCUAUGACCUCCUGUCUUUCUGGGCAUCCUGGCAUCCCCAUGUCUGACUGUGCUGCACCCUACAUUUCAUGCCAAUGUAUGUCUGUUUCUUGGGGUCCUUCUGCCAAGAAACUGUGCUUUUCUUAAAGAAGGCACUUACUAGUAUAUCAGCCUGGGUGACUUCCACACUCCACCCGCGGCCCAUGUGGAGACUGCAGGUCACAAAAGAUCCCAGAUCAUUUUUAUCCCUCUCCCUCCAACUUUUCUCGUGGCUCUCUUCAGUUGGUUGUCUAUCUAUUACUUUGAGUCCUAUCUUUCUUCACAGCCACCCCUGUCCUAACAUUUUCCUGCCUCCCAUCAUCUGUCUCUAAUGUCUGCUUAUCUCUGUGUCCCAUGUACCUCCCUUUCUAUGGACCUAUCCGAGUGGCUCCCUGUCUCCAGGAGCCCUUCUCCCAGCAUGAACAAAGCGGUUUGCAAACCUUAAAUAUUUAUAUAAGUUUGAGAUAUUAUUAUUAUUAUUAUUAUUAUUAUUAUUAUUAUUAUUAUUAUUACUAUGAUUAGCACUCCUUGGAUAUUUCACUCAACACUUCUAAGUUGUUAUCAGCCCAUUCAUGACCGCCACUUUGCCCUGGUCAUCCAAGCACUUGUGAAAGCACCUAAUGAUACCGUCACCUAGUAGCCAUCACUCCCUUUUUCCCCAGAGCAACACAACAUACUCAGGCAAAUAAAAAUACAUGGCGAAAAUCUAGGUAAAUUAUAAAUUACAUCCCCAGAUGAUACAAUCCAGUAACCCUUUUCUCUCUUACCUGAUUCACUUUAUGGGCUCCGGUAUUUUGAACGUUGAAGAUUUGUGACCCCAGAGACCUUAGCAUACCAGGCCCUUCUGUCUGCUAUCUUACAAAGUCUGUCCAAGUUCACGUUUGCUCCUUCCAUGACACUCUCUCAUCUUUGUCACCUCCUGCCAUCCUCUUCUCCUUUUGCCUUCAAUCUUUUCAAACAUCAGAGAAGGACACUAUAGAAAGAAACAGAGAUGUUUCAGAGACAUGACAGGGUAGAGGUGAGAUUGAUUGCUUUCUCUUGUUUUUUGGGAACUCUUUGGUACCAUGAGUGUCAGAGCUAGGAUCAGAGGCCCUGACUUUGAAGGCAUCUUCCAGAGACAGAUGCUUUAGAGUCUGAACCGCCUGCUUAGUGACCAGCUGAUAUUCUCAAGUUCCAUCGAAACUCUAGCCUUGUAUUUCAGACCUCCAGGAGCAGAUUCUAAAUGGAACACAAUGAGAGAGCACCUCCACAUUUAAGAGUUUGGAGGAACUUUGUUCCCUUGGACUACAGGUGUCCUUAAAAUCUGUCUCCACUUUAAAAACCAGUGAAAAGGAAAGCCCUAGCUGAGGGGAGGAAUCCCAUUGAAUUCUAGUAUUACACAGUCAACCAUAACCAAGAGCUACUUCAGCUGCCAGGAGUAACCUUUCACUCCUAGUCUCCUAACAGCUGUUCUCAUUUGAGCUCCCCUCUGAGCUUAGUAGUUUCUAGUUCUGUGUAUCAAAGCUGUUACUAACAAGUAAUGGCAGCAGUUAGGGAGAAAGGCUAACUAUACUAGGAGGCCCGUAAAACUUUCCACCUUUAGGAGGGAGGAAUCGUGUUACUCUCACAUGUGAAAAUGACAACUGGUGUCCGUAUGAAUUGAAUCAAAAGCAGUUCAAAGUGAACUCCAAAGGCGAAGUUGAGAUCCAUAGAAAAAAACUUUGGUACAGCAGGUUCAAACCAUCAAUUACUUGGACAGCAGCUUCUUUCCAUGUUUACCAGAUGAAUAUCACUAAUAAUAAGAAAAUGACAAAUGAAAACAGUUGUAAAGAUUGAGCUCACAUCCAUCAGAUAAACAAAGAGAACAAAAUGUAGAAACAAUAAAUUACUAGACAGGCACAAUAAUACACUAAUCUUACUGAGAAGACAUCUAAUUUAUCCCUAUUACAAACAAUACUUCUUCUUGGUUUUAAAAAGAGACUAUAAUUUUUUAAAAACCUCUAUUUAUUCCUGUGCUUUCUGGGUUUUUUUUUUCUAGAAAUAGGUGUAUUUUCUCAAGUUUUUUUUGUAUCUAUUGAGAUAAUCACAUGAUUUUUGUUACUUUUGUUAUUAAUAUGAUCAUUUAUGCUAAAAGUUUUCCCAAUAUUGAAUAAGCCUUACAUUCUUGAUAUAAAUCCAACCUGAUAAUAUAUGAAGUUUCUGAAAUAUUGCUAUAAUCUCCUCACUAGUAUUUUAUUUAAAAUUUUUGAAUCAAUACUCAAUAGGAAGGUAUGAGCAACAUAUUUCUGUAGUAAAAUGAAAUUUGGUAGGAUAACUUCUUUGCCUAUUUUUCCAAAGAGUUUAAAUAGUAUUAGAAUUAAUUCUUUUUUAAAAUGAUUGUUAGAAUACACAUAUGAAUCAAAUUGUUCCUAAGGACUUUUUAUGUGCCCAUUGAUGGCAUGUUAAAAUUUCUUUGUCUAACAUAGAGUUAUUUAAGAAUUCCAUUUCCCAUUCUGUUAAUUUGGGCAAUUUUAUAUUUAUUGGGUCAAUUUUUAACUUCUAAUUUUAUCAAUCCUUUGUUUUUUUAAGAUUUCUAUAAUAACAUUUAAUAAAAAGUUUUUUUUUAAUAAUCUUUUUCUGUUUUCUUUUUAACUAUAAGCCCAAUUCAUUGUUCUGCUUUUUUCUUUUUUAUUAUUAUAAGCAUUUAGAGAUAUAAUUAUUUUCCUAAGGAAAAUAAAUAUUUUCCUAUUUUUCCAACUUUGGCUACAUUCCAGAAAUUUUGGUACAUUGUCUCAUUGUUAUUACUAUUCUUUAAUGAAUUUAUUGGUUCUAUGGUCCACCCAAUUUUUAGGACUUUUGUGUUUCCAAUUGAUGUUUAACCUAGGCUUCCAAAGGUCUUUAUUGAACAAAAUGUUUACUAUUUUAUGGUACCAAAAGAGUACAUAUGCCAUUUCUGAUUUUCUGUAGUUUAGUGAGGUUUUUAUGCCUUCUAUGGUAAGUUUCUUGAGGAUAACUAUAUGUAGCUUCUAUAUUCCCAAUCAGUUUUCUCCAGAGGUCUAUGAAAUCUAACUUUUCUAAUAUUCUAUUCAUCUCCUUAACUUGUUUCUUAUUUAUUUUAUUGCUAGAUGUAAUUAGUUCUAAGUGGUAAACUGAGGUUCCCCACUAGUAAACUUAUAAUAUUUCCUCCUCUAACUCAAUAUCCCUUGAGGAUCUAGAAUCUAUUCAAUUUGAUACUUACGUUUUAGUAUUGGUAUUACAUCAUUAUCUAUGAUACCUGUUAAUGAAAUGGAGUUUCCCUGGCUAUCUCAUUUAGUUGGGGAUAUUUUUGUUUUUGCUUCAUUUGAGAUCCUAAUUCUAAUGCCUACCCUACUAAGCUCAUCAGAAGCAAAAUAGAUUCUGCUUUAGCACCUUAUUUUAACUCUUAUGUGUUUUUCUGUUCCAUGUAUGUUUCCUGUAAACAACAUAUUUGUUGGAUUCUCUUAUCUUAAUUUAUUAUGUUUUCUGCUUCCAUUUUAUGGCUGAGUUCAUCCCAUUCCCAGUUAUGAUCAAUAACUAUUACCCUACAUCCUAUUUUUUAUCAUACUCUUUUUAAAAUUCUAUCCCUCUUCUAAACUCUAUUCUGCUUCUUAGAACUACCUCCUUUAAUGCCAUCAAAGCAAAGCUGCAGGAGGAACUUUUGCUUCCUUAUAGUGGCAAGUGCAUGUCUUCUCCCUGGAGCUACAACAGGGACUUCUGGUUACUUGUGAUGGCAAGUGCUCCUCUUCACCCUGUCGCUAUAGCAGGGAAUUCUGGUUAGGUGUGAUGGGACUGCUCUUAUUUACCCCUGGAACAGCAGCAGGGACUUCUCGUAACUUUUGAUGGCAACUGCACCUCUUCACCCUCGAGUGGCAUCAGAAAAUUCUGGUUACUUGUGAUGGCAAGUUUUCCUCUUCACCCUGGAGCAAUAGCCGGGACGUCGAGUAAAGUGUGAUGGCAAGUGUUCCUCUUCACCCUGUCACUAUAGCAGGGAAUUCUGGUUACGUGUGAUGGGACUGCUCUUAUUUACCCCUGGAACAGCAGCAGGGACUUCUCGUAAUUUUUGAUGGCACCUCUUCACCCUCGAGUGGCAUCAGGAAAUUCUGGUUACUUGUGAUGGCAAGUUUUCCUCUUCACCCUGGAGCAAUGGCCGGGACUUCGAGUAAAGUGUGAUGGCAAGUGUUCCUCUUCACCCUGGACCUGCAGCAGGAACUUCAAGUAAUUUGUGAUGGCAACUGUUGUUCUUCACCCUGGAGCUGCAGGAGGGACUUCUGCUUACUUGUGAUGGCAAGUGUUCGUCUUCACCCUGGAGCUGCUACAGGGACUUCUGGUUACUUGUGGUGAAAUGUGUACCUCUUCAGCCAGGAGCUGCAGCAGGGACUUCUGGUAACUUGGGAUCACAAGUGUUCCUCUUCACCCUGGAGCUACAGCAGGGACUUCUGGUUACUUGUGAUGACAAGUGUUCGUCUUCACCCUGGAGCUGCAGCAGGAACUGCUGGUAUCUUGUGAUGGCAAGUAUUCCUCUUCACACUGGAGCGUCAGCAGGGACUUCUGGCACCUUGUAAUGGCAACUAUUGUUCUUCACCCUGGAGCAGCAGCAGGGACUUCUGGUAACUUGUGAUGGCAAGUGUUCCUCUUCACCUUGGAGCAGCAGCAGGGACUUCUGGCAACUUGUAAUGGCAACUAUUGUUCUUCACCCUGGAGCAGCAACAGGGACUUCUGGUAACUUCUGAUGGCAAGUGUUCCUCUUCACCUAGGAGCAGCAGCAGGGACUUCUGGGUCCUUGUGGUCACAAGUGUUCCUCUUCACCCUGGAGCAGCAGCAGGGACUUCUGGCAAAUUGUGAGGGCAACUGUUGUUCUUCACCCUGGAGUAGCAGCAGGGACUUCUGGUAACUUGUGAUGGCAACUGUUCCUCUUCACCCUGGAGCUGCAGCAGGAACUUCUGGUAUCUUGUGAUGGCAAGUAUUCCUCUUCACACUGGAGCGUCAGCAGGGACUUCUGGCACCUUGUAAUGGCAACUAUUGUUCUUCACCCUGGAGCAGCAGCAGGGACUUCUGGUAACUUGUGAUGGCAAGUGUUCCUCUUCACCUUGGAGCAGCAGCAGGGACUUCUGGCAACUUGUAAUGGCAACUAUUGUUCUUCACCCUGGAGCAGCAGCAGGGACUUCUGGUAACUUGUGAUGGCAAGUGUUGCUCUUCACCUAGGAGCAGCAGCAGGGACUUCUGGGUCCUUGUGGUCACAAGUGUUCCUCUUCACCCUGGAGCGGCAGCAGGGACUUCUGGCAAAUUGUGAGGGCAACUGUUGUUCUUCACCCUGGAGUAGCAGCAGGGACUUCUGGUAACUUGUGAUGGCAACUGUUCCUCUUCACCCUGGAGAUGCAGCAGGGACUCCUGGUAACUUGUGAUGGCAAGUGUUCCUCUUCACCCUGGAGCAGCAGCAGGGACUUCUGGUAACUUGUGAUGGCAAGUAUUCCUCUUCACCCUGGAGCGUCAGCAGGGACUUCUGGUUACUUGUCAUCACAAGUGUUCCUCUUCACCCUGGAGCAGCAGCAGGGACUUCUGGCAACUUGUGAUGGCAACUGUUGUUCUUCACCCUAGAGCAGCAGGAGGGACUUGUGGUUACUUUUGGAGGCAAGUGCUUUUCUUCACACUGGACCUGCAGCUGUGAUGUCCACUUAUUGGUGAUAGGAAGUGUUCUUCUUCAAACGGGAGCUGCAGCUUGGACCUCUGCUUGGUUGUGAUGGCAAAGGCCUCUCUCCACCCCUAAGCUGCAGUUGGGACGUCUGCGUAGUUGUGAUGGCAAAGGCCUCAUUCUAUCCUGGAGCGGUAUAUGACACCUCUGCUAGGUUGUGAUAGCAAAGACCUCUGUCCAACCCAGAGCUGCAACUGAGACCUCUGAUUUGUUGUGAUAUCAAAGGCCUCUCUCCACCACUAAUCUGCAGCUAUGUCUUCUGCAUUUUUCUUAGGGAAAUUGGUCUUCUUCACCCAGUAUCUUCAGGAAAGAUUUCUGGCAACAUUUCAUGGCACUUGGACCUCUUCACCUUGGAGCAACAGCAGGGACUUUAGUCAACUUGUAAUGGAAACUGUUAUUCUUCACCCUAGAGGAGCAGCAGGGACUUCUGGUAAUUUGUGAUCACAAGUGUUCCUCUUCACCCUGGAGCUACAGCAGGGACUUCUGGUAACUUGUGAUCACAAGUGUUCCUCUUCACCCUGGAGCUACAGCAGGGACUUCUGGUAACUUGUGAUGGCAAGUGUUCCUCUUCACCUUGGAGCAGCAGCAUGUACAUCAGGCAACUUGUAAUGGCAACUGUUGUUCUUCACCCUGGAGCAGCAGCAGGGACUUCUGGGUACUUGUGGUCACAAGUGUUCCUCUUCACGCUGGAGCUACAGCAGGGACUUCUGGGUACUUGUGAUCACAAGUGUUCCUCUUUACGCUGGAGCUACAGCAGGGACUUCUGGUAACUUGUAAUGGCAACUGUUGCUCUUCACCCUGGAGCGUCAGCAGGAACUUCUGUUUACUUGUCGCCACAAGUGUUCUUCACCCUGGAGCAGCCGCAGGGACUUCUGGCAAAUUGUGAUGGGAACUGGUGUUCUUCACCCUAGAGCAGGAGGAGGGACUUCUGGUUACUUGUGGAGGCAAGUUCUUUUCUUCACACUGGACCUGCAGAUGUAAUGUUCAGUUAUUGGUGAUAGGAAGUGUUCAUCUUCAAGCGGGAGGUGCAGCUUGUACUUCUGCUUGGUUGUGAUGGCAAAGGCCUCUUUCCACCCCUAAGGUGCAGUUGGGACGUCUGCGUAGUUGUGAUGGCAAAGGCCUCACUCUAUCUUGUAGCGGUACAUGAGACCUCUGCUAGGGUGUGAUAGCAAAGACCUCUGUCCAACCCAGAGCUACAACUGAGACCUCUGAUUUGUUGCGAUAUCAAAGGCCUCUCUCCUCCCCUAAGUUGCAGCUGUGUCUUCUGCAUUUUUCUUAGCGAAAUUGGUCUUCUUCACCCACAAGCUUCAGGAAAGAUUUCUGGUAACAUUUCAUAGCACUUGGUCCUCUUCACCUUGGAGCAGCAGCAGGGACUUUAGGCAACUUGUAAUGGAAACUGUUGUUCUUCACCCUGGAGCAGCAGCAGGGACUUCUGGUAACUUUUGAUCACAAGUGUUCCUCUUCACCCUGGAGCUACAGCAGGGACUUCUGGUAACUUAGGAUCACAAGUGUUCCUCUUCACCCUAGAGCUACAGCAGGGACUUCUGGUUACUUGUGAUGACAAGUGUUCGUCUUCACCCUGGAGCUGCAGCAGGAAAUUCUGGUUAUUUGUGGUGACAAGUUUUUUUGUCACACUGGACAUGCAGCUGGGACGUCUAAUUAUUGCUGAUAGGAAGUGUUCUUCUUCAAACAGGAGCUGCAGCUUGGACUUCUGCUUAGUUGUGAUGGCAAAGGCCUCUCUCCAUCUGGGAGCUGCAGCUGAGACAGCUUCUUGGUUGUGAUGGCAAAGGUGUCUCUACAUCCUAGAACUACAGCUGAGACCUCUGCUUUCUUCUGAUGGCAAAGGCCUCUCUCCACCCCGGAGCUGUAGCUGAGACCUCUGCUUUGUUUUGAUAGAAAAGGCCUGUCUCCACCCCUAAUCUGAAGCUGCGUCCUCUGCAUUUUUCUUGGGGUAAUUGGUCAUCUUCACCCAGUAGCUACAGGAAAGAUUUCUGGUAACUUUUGAUGGCAAAUGUUCGUAUUCACCAUGGAGCUGCAGCAGGGACUUCUGGCAAAUUGUGAUGGCAAGUGUUGCUCUUCACCCUGGAGCUGCAACAGGGACUUCUGGUAACUUGUAAUGGCAAGUGUUGCUCUUCACCCUGGAGCAGCAACAGGGACUUCUGGCACCUUGUGAUGGCAACUGUUGUACUUCACCCUAGAGCAGCAGGAGGGACUUCUGGUUACUUUUGGAGGAAAGUCCUUUUCUUCACACUGGAGCUGCAGCUGUGAAGUCCACUUAUUGGUGAUAGGAAGUGUUCUUCUUCAAGCGGGAGCUGCAGCUUGGACCUCUGCUUGGUUGUAAUAGCAAAGGCCGCUCUCCACCACUAAGCUGCAGUUGUGACGCCUGCGUAGUUGUGGUUGGCAAAGGCCUCGUUCUAUCCUGGAGCGGUAAAUGAGACCUAUGCUAGGUUGUGAUAGCAAAGACCUCUGUCCAACCCAGAGCUGCAACUGAGACGUCUGAUUUGUUGUGAUAUCAAAGGCCUCUCUCCACCCCUAAGCUGCAGCUGUGUCUUCUGCAUUUUUCUUAGGGAAAUUGGUCUUCUUCACCCAGUAGCUUCAGGAAAGAUUUCUGGUAACAUUUCAUGGCACGUGGUCUCUUCACCUUGGAACAGCAGUAGGGACUUUAGUCAACUUGUAAUGGAAACUGUUAUUCUACACCCUAGAGCAGCAUCAGGGACUUCUGGUAACUUGUGAUGGCAAGUGUUGCUCUUCACGCUGGAGCUGCAGCAGGGACUUCUGGUAACUUGUGAUGGCAAGUGUUGCUCUUCACCCUGGAGCUGCAGCAGGGACUUCUGGUAACUUGUGAUGGCAAGUGUUGCUCUUCACCCUGGAGCUGCAGCAGGGACUUCUGGUAACUUGUGAUGGCAAGUGUUGCUCUUCACCCUGGAGCUGCAGCAGGGACUUCUGGUAACUUGUGAUGGCAAGUGUUCCUCUUCACCUUGGAGCAGCAGCAGGGACUUCAGGCAACUUGUAAUGGCAACUGUUGUUCUUCACCCUGGAGCAGCACCAGGGACUUCAGGUUACUUAUGGUCACAGAUGUUCCUCUUCAACCUGGAACUACAGCAGGGACUUCUGGUAACUUGUGAUGGCAAGUGUUCCUCUUCACCCUGGAGCUGCAGCAGGGACUUCAGGCAACUUGUAAUGGCAACUGUUGUUCUUCACCCUAGAGCAGCAGCAGGGACUUCUGGUAACUUGUGAUCACAAGUGUUCCUCUUCACCCUGGAGCUACAGCAGGGACUUCUGGUAACUUUUGAUGGCAAGUGUUCCUCUUCACCUUGGAGCAGCGCAGGUACAUCAAGGCAACUUGAAUGGCAAGCUGUUGUUUCUUCACCCUGGAGCAGCAGCAGGGACUUCUGGGUACUUGUGGUCACAAGUGUUCCUCUUCACCCUGGAGCAGCAGCAGGGGCUUCUGGUAACUUGUGAUCACAAGUGUUCCUCUUCACCCUGGAGCUACAGCAGGGACUUCUGGUAACUUGUAAUGGCAACUGUUGUUCUUCACCCUGGAGCAGCAGCAGGGACUUCUGGUAACUUGUGACGCCAAGUGUUCCUCUUCCCCUUAGAGCAGCAGCAGGUACAUCAGGCAACUUGUAAUGGCAAAUCUUGUUCUUCACCCUGGAGCAGCAGCAGGGACUUCUGGGUACUUGUGGUCACAAGUGUUCCUCUUCACCCUGGAGCUACAGCAGGGGCUUCUGGGUACUUGUGGUCACAAGUGUUCCUCUUCACCCUGGAGCGUCAGCAGGAACUUCUGUUUACUUGUCGCCACAAGUGUUCUUCACCCUGGAGCAGCCGCAGGGACUUCUGGCAAAUUGUGAUGGCAACUGUUAUUCUUCACCCUAGAGCAGCAGCAGGGACUUCUGGUAACUUGUGAUCGCAAGUGUUCCUCUUCACCCUGGAGCUACAGCAGGGACUUCUGGUAACUUGUGAUGGCAAGUGUUGCUCUUCACCCUGGAGCUGCAGCAGGGACUUCUGGUAACUUGUGAUGGCAAGUAUUCCUCUUCACCCUGGAGCGUCAGCAGGGACUUCUGGUUACUUGACAUCACAAGUGUUCCUCUUCACCCUGGAGCAGCAGCAGGGACUUCUGGCAACUUGUGAUGGCAACUGUUGUUCUUCACCCUAGAGCAGCAGGAGGGACUUCUGGUUACUUUUGGAGGCAAGUGCUUUUCUUCACACUGGACCCGCAGCUGUGAUGUCCAGUUAUUGGUGAUAGUAAGUGUUCUUCUUCAAACGGGAGCUGCAGCUUGGACCUCUGCUUGGUUGUGAUGGCAAAGGCCUCUCUCCACCCCUAAGCUGCAGUUGUGACGUCUGCGUAGUUGUGAUGGCAAAGGCCUCGUUCUAUCCUGGAGCGGUAUAUGAGACCUCUGCUAGGGUGUGAUAGCAAAGACCUCUGUCCAACCCAGAGCUGCAACUGAGACCUCUGAUUUGUUAUGAUAUCAAAGGCCUCUCUCCACCCCUAAGCUGCAGCUGUGUCUUCUGCAUUUUUCUUAGCGAAAUUGGUCUUCUUCACCCACUAGCUUCAGGAAAGAUUUCUGGUAACAUUUCAUAGCACUUGGUCCUCUUCACCUUGGAGCAGCAGCAGGGACUUUAGGCAACUUGUAAUGGAAACUGUUGUUCUUCACCCUGGAGCAGCAGCAGGGACAUCUGGUAACUUGUGAUCACAAGUGUUCCUCUUCACCCUGGAUCUACAGCAGGGACUUCUGGUAACUUGUGAUGGCAAGUGUUCGUCUUCACCUUGGAACAGCAGCAGGUACAUCAGGCAACGUGUAAUGGCAACUGUUGUUCUUCACCCUGGAGUAGCAGCAGGGACUUCUGGGUACUUGUGGUCACAAGUGUUCCUCUUCACCCUGGAGCAGCAGCAGGGGCUUCUGGUAACUUGUGAUCACAAGUGUUGCUCUUCACCCUGGAGCUGCAGCAGGGACUUCUAGUAACUUGUAAUGGCAAGUAUUCCUCUUCACCCUGUAGCGUCAGCUGGGACUUCUGGCAACUUAUGAUGGCAAAUGUUGUUUUUCACCCUGGAGCAGCAGGAGGGACUUCUCAUUACUUGUGGAGGCAAGUUCUUUUCUUCACACUGGACCUGCAGCUGGGACAUCUACUUAUUGGUGAUAGGAAGUGUUCUUCUUCAAACGGGAGGUGCAGCUUGGACUUCUGCUUAGUUGUGAUGGCAAAGGCCUCUCUCCAUCUUGGAGCUGCAGCUGAGACAGCUUCUUGGUUGUGAUGGCAAAGGUGUCUCUACUUCCUAGAACUGCAGCUGAGACCUGUGCUUAGUUGUGAUGGCAAAGGCCUCUCUCCACCCCUAAGCUGCAGUUGAGACGUCUGCGUAGUUGUGAUGGCAAAGGCCUCGUUCUAUCCUGAAAUGGUAAAUGAGACCUCUGCUAGGUUGCGAUAGCAAAGACCUCUGUCCAACCCAGAGCUGCAACUGAGACCUCUGAUUUGUUAUGAUAUCAAAGCCUUCUCUCUCCACCCCUAAGCUACAGCUGUAUCUUCUGCAUUUUUCUUAGGGAAUUUGGUCUUCUUCACCCACUAGCUUCAGGAAAGAUUUCUAGUAACCUUUCAUGGCACGUGGUCCUCUUCACCUUGGAGCAGCAGCAGGGACUUCAGGCAACUUGUAAUGGAAACUGUUGUUCUUCACGCUGAAGCAGCAGGAGGGACUUCUGGUAACUUGUGAUCACAAGUGUUCCUCUUCACCCUGGACCUACAGCUGUGACUUCUGGUACCUUGUGAUGGCAAGUGUUCCUCUUCACCUGGGAGCAGCAGCAGGGAUUUCUGGGUACUUGUGGUCACAAGUCAUCCUCUUCGCCUUGGAGCAGCAGCAGGGACUUCUGGUAACUUGUGAUCACAAGUGUUCCUCUUCACCCUGGAGCUACAUCAGGGACUUCUGGUAACUUGUGAUGGCAAGUGUUCCUCCUCACCUUGGAGCAGCAGCAGGGACUUCAGGCAAUUUGUAAUGGUAACUGUUGUUCUUCACCCUGGAGCAGCAGCAGGGACUUCUGGUUACUUGUGAUGACAACUGUUGUUCUUCACCCUGGAGUAGCAGCAGGGACUUCUGCUUACAUGUUAUGUUAACUGUUGUUCUUCACCCUGGAGCAGUACCAGGGACUUCUGGUUACUUGUGGUGGCAAGAUCUUUUUGUCACACUGGACAUGCAACUGGGACGUAUAGUUAUGGGGAAUAUGAAGUGUUUUUCUUCAAACGGGAGGUGCAGCUUGGACUUCUGCUUAGUUGUGAUAGCAAAGGCCUACAUCCAUCCUUAAGCUGCAGCUGGGACAUCUAUGUAGUUGUGAUGGAAAACGCCUCUCUCCAUCUUGGAGCUGCAGCUGAGAUCUCUGCUUUGUUUUGAUAGAAAAGGCCUCUCUCCACCCUUAAUCUGCAGCUGCGUCCUCUGCAUUUUUCUUGGGGUAAUUGGUCUUCUUCACCCAGUAGCUACAGGAAAGAUUUCUGGUAACCUUUGAUGGCAAGUGUUGCUCUUCACCCUGGAGCUGCAGCAGGGACAUCUGGUAACUUGUGAUGGCAAGUAUCCCUCUUCAACCUAGAGCGUCAGCAGGGACUUCUGGUUACUUGUCGUCACAAGUGUUCCUCUUCACCCUGGAGCAGUAGCAGGGGCUUCUGGCAAAUUGUGAUGGCAACAGUUGUUCUUCACUCUGGAGCAGCAGGAGGGACUUCUCGAUACUUGUGGAGGCAAGUUCUUUUCUUUACACUGGACCUGCAGCUGUGAUGUCCAGUUAUUGGUGAUAGGAAGGGUUCUUCUUCAAACAGGGGCUGCAGCUUGGACCUCUGCUUUGUUGUGAUGGCAAAGGCCUCUCUCCACCCCUAAGCUGCAGCUGCGUCUUCUGCAUUUUUGUUAGGGAAUUUGGUCGUCUUCACCUAGUAGCUUCCGGUAAGAUUUCUAGUAACAUUUCAUGGCAGGUGGUCUUCUUCACCUUGGAGCAGCAGCAGGGACUUCAGGGAACUUGUAAUGGAAACUGUUGUUCUUCACCCUGGAGCAGCAGCAGGGACUUCUGGGUACUUGUGGUCACAAGUGUUCCUCUUCACCCUGGAGCUACAGCAGGGACUUCUGGUUACUUGUGAUGACAAUUGUUCGUCUUCACCCUGGAGCAGCAGCAGAGACUUUGGGAUACUUGUGGUCACAAGUGUUCUUCUUCACCCUGGAGCAGCAACAGGGACUUCUGGGUACUUCUGUUCACAAAUGUUCCUCUUCACCCUGGAACUAAUGCACGGACUUCUGGUUACUUGUGAUCAAAAGUGUUUGUCGUCACCCUGGACCAGCAGCAGGGACUUCUGGCAACAUGUGAUGGCAACUGUUGUUCUUCACCCUGGAGCAGCAGCAGGGAUUUCUCGUUACUUGUGAUGGCAAGUGUUCCUCUUCACCCUGGAGCUGCAGCAAGGACUUCUGGUUACUUGUGGUCACAAGUGUUCCUCUUCACCCUGGAGGUGCAGCAGGGACUUCUGGCAACUUGUAAUGGCAACUGUUUUUCUUCACCCUGGUGCAGCAGCAGGGACUUCUGCGUACUUGUGGUCACAAGUGUUCCUCUUCACCUUGGAGCGGCAGCAGGGACUUCAGGCAACAUGUGAUGGCAACAGUUGUUCUUUGCCCUCGAGCAGUAGCAGGAAUUAGGGGUAUUUAUGGUCGCAAUUAUUCCUCUUCACCCUGGAGCUUAAGAAGGGACUUCUGACAACAUGUGAUGGCAAGUGUUCCUCUUCACCGUGGAGCUGCAGCAGGGACUUCUGGCAAGUUGUGAUGGCAAGUGUUCCUCUUCACCCUGGAGCAGCAGGAGGGACUUCUGGCUACUUGUGUUGACUAGUGUUCCUCUUCACCCUGGAGUGGCAGCAGGGACUUCAGGGUAACUUGUGAUGGCAACAGUUGUUCUUUGCCCUUGAGCAGCAGCAGGGAUUCUGGGUACUUGUGGUCACAAGUAUUCCUCGUCACCCUGGAGAUGCAGCAGGGACUUCUGGUUCCUUGUGGUGGCAAGUUCUUUUCGUCAAACUGGACCUACAGGUGGGACGUCCAGUUAUUGGAGAUAGGAAGUGUUCUUCAAACAGGAGCUACAGCUUGGACCUCUGCUUAGUUGUGAUGGGAAUGGCCUCCUUCCACCCAUAAGCUGCAGCUGGCACAUCUAUGUAGUUGUGAUGGCAAAGGCCUCUCUCAACCCUAAGCUUCAGCUCUGUCCUAUGCAUUUUUCUUAGGGCAAUUGGUCUUCUUCACCCAGUAGUUACAGGAAAGAUUUCUGCUAACAUUUGAUGGCAAGUGGUCCUCUUCAACCUGGAGCAGCAGCAGGGAUUUCUGGUUACUUGUGAUGACAAGUGUUUCUCUUCACCCUGUAGCGGCUUCAGGGACUUCUGGUUACUUGGGGUCACAAGUGUUCCUCUUCACCCUGGAGCAGCAGCAGGGACUUCUGGUAAGUUGACCUGGCAAGUGUUCCUCUAUACGCUGGAGCUGCAGCAGGGACUUCGGGUAAGUUGUGCUGGCAAGUGUUCCUCUUCACCCUAGAGCAGCAGCAGGGACUUCUGGUAAAUUGACCUGGCAAUUGUUCCUCUAUACCCUGGAGCUGCAGCAGGGACUUCUGGUAAGUUGUGCUGGCAAGUGUUCCUUUUCAACCUAGGGCAGCAGCAGGGAUUUCUGGUUACUUGUGAUGACAAGUGUUUCUCUUCACCCUGUAGCGGCAGCAGGGACUUCUGGUUACUUGGGGUCACAAGUGUUCCUCUUCACCCUGGAGCAGCAGCAGGGACCUCUGGGUACUUGUGGUCACAACUUUUCCUCUUCACCCUGGAGCUACAGCAGGGCCUUCUGGUAACUUUUGAUGGCAAGUUGUUCCUCUUCACCUUGGAGCUGCAGGAGGGACUUUUGGUUACUUGUGAUCACAAGUGUUCCUCUUCACCCUGGAGGUACAGCAGGGACUUCUGAUUACUUGUGAUGGCAACUGUUGUUCUUCACCAUGGAGUAGCAGCAGGGAUUUCUGGGUACUUGUGGUCACAAGUGUUCCUCUUCACCCUGAAGCAGCAGCAGGGACUUCUGGCAACUUGUGAUGGCAAAUAUUGUUUUUCACCCUGGAGCAGCAGGAGGGACUUCUUGUUACUUGUGGAGGCAAGUUCUUUUCUUCACACUGGACCUGCAGCUGGGACAUUUAGUUAUUGGUGAUAGGAAGUGUUCUUCAAACAGGAGGUGCAGCUUGGACCUCUGCUUAGUUGUGAUGGCAAAGACCUCUCUCCACCCCUAAGCUGGAGUUGGGAAGUCUGCGUAGUUGUGAUGGCAAAGGCCUCGUUCUAUCCUGGAGCGGUAAAUGAGACCUCUGCUAGGUUGUGAUAGCAAAGACCUCUGUCCAACCCAGAGGUGCAACUGCGACCUCUGAUUUGUUGUGCUAUCAAAGGCCUCUCUCCACCCGUAAGCUGCAGAUGUGUCUUCUGCAUUUUUCUUAGGGAAUUUAAUCUUCAUCACCCAGUAGUUUCAGAAAAGAUUUCAGGGCACGUGGUCCUCUUCACCUUGGAGCAGCAGCCGGGACUUCUGGUAACUUGUGAUGGCAAGAGUUCCUCUUCACCUUGGAAAAGCUGCAGGGACUUCAGGCAACUUUUAAUGGCAACUAUUGUUCGUCACCCUGGAGCAGCAGCAGGGACUUCUGGGUACUUGUGAUGACAACUGUUCGUCUUCACCCUGGAGCUGCAGCAGGGAACUCUGGUUACUUGUGAUGACAAGUGUUUGUCUUCACCCUCGAGCAGCAGCAGGGACUUCGGCAAGUUGUGAUGGCAACUGUUGUUCUUCACCCUGGAGCAGCACCAGGGAUUUCUGGUUACUUGUGUUGGCAAGUUCUUUUUCUCACACUGGACAUGCAGCUGGGACGUCUAGUUAUUGGUGAUAGGAAGUGUUCUUCUUCAAAGGGGAGCUGCAGCUUGGACCUUUACUUGGUUGGGAUGGCAAAGGCCUCUCUCCACCCCUAAGCUGCAGUUGGGACGUCUGCGUAGUUGUGAUGGCAAAGGCCUCGUUCUAUCCUGGAGCAGUAAAUGAGACCUCUGCUAGGUUGUGAUAGCAAAGACCUCAGUCCAACCCAGAGCUGCAACUGAGACCUUUGAUUUGUUGUGAUAUCAAAGGCCUCUCUCCACCCCUAAGCUGCAGCUGUGUCUUCUGCAUUUUUCUUAGGGAAUUUGGUCUUCUUCACCCAGUAGCUUCAGGAAAGAUUUCUGGUAACAUUUCAUGGCACGUGGUCCUCUUCCCCCUGGAGCCGCAGCAGGGACUUCUGGUUACUUGUGAUGACAAUUGUUCGUCUUCACCCUGGAGCAGCAGCAGGGACUUCUGGGUACUUCUGUUCACAAGUGUUCCUCUUCACCCUGGAACUACAGCAGGGACUUCUGGUUACUUGUGAUCAAAAGUGUUCGUCGUCAACCUGGACCAACAGCAGGGACUUCUGGCAACAUGUGAUGGCAACUGUUGUUCUUCACCCUGGAGCAGCAGCAGGGAUUUCUCGUUACUUGUGAUGGCAAGUGUUCCUCUUCACCCUGGAGCUGCAGCAGGGACUUUUGGUUACUUGUGGUCAGAAAUGUUCUUCUUCACCCUAGAGCUGCAGCAGGGACUUUUGGUUACUUGUGGUCAGAAGUGUUCCUCUUCACCCUGGAGCGGCAGCAGGGACUUCAGGCAACAUCUGAUGGCAACAGUUGUUCUUCGCCCUCGAGCAGCAGCAGGAAUUAGGGGUACUUAUGUUCGCAAUUAUUCCUCUUCACCCUGGAGCUUAAGAAGGGACUUCUGACAACAUGUGAUGGCAAGUGUUCCUCUUCACCCUGGAGCUGCAACAGGGACUUAUAAUAACUUGUGAUGGGAAGUGUUCCUCUUCACCCUGGAGAUGCAGAAGGGACUUCUGGCAAGUUGUGAUGGCAAGUGUUCCUCUUCACCCUGGAGCGGCAGUAGGGACUUCUGUUAAGUUGUGCUGGCAAGUGUUCCUCUUCAACCUGGAGCAGCAGCAGGGAUUGCUGGUUACUUGUGAUGAAAAGUGUUUCUCUUCACCCUGGAGCAGCAGCAGGGAUUUCUGGCUACUUGUGUUGACUAGUGUUCCUCUUCACCCUGGAGCGGCAGCAGGGACUUCAGGGUAACUUGUGAUGGCAACAGUUGUUCUUCACCCUUGAGCAGCAGCAGGGAUUCUGGGUACUUGUGGUGGCAAAUUCUUUUCGUCACACUGGACCUACAGGUGGGACGUCCAGUUAUUGGAGAUAGGAAGUGUUCCUCAAACGGGAGCUACAGCUUGGACCUCCGCUUAGUUGUGAUGGGAAUGGCCUACUUCCACCCAUAAGCUGCAGCUGGCACUUCUAUGUAGUUGUGAUGGCAAAGGCCUCUCUCAACCCUAAGCUGCAGCUGUGUCCUAUGCAUUUUUUUUAGGGCAAUUGGUCUUCUUCACCCAGUAGUUACAGGAACGAUUUCUGCUAACAUUCCAUGGCAAGUGGUCCUCUUCACCCUGGAGCUCCAGCAGGGACUUCUGCUUACUUGUGAUGACAAGUUUUUCUCUUCACCCAGCAGCGGCAGUAGGGACUUCUGGUUACUUGGGGUCACAAGUGUUCCUCUUCACCCUGGAGCAGCAGCAGGGACUUCUGGUAAGUUGUGCUGGCAAGUAUUCCUCUUCACCCUGGAGCAGCAGCAGGGACUUCUGGUAAGUUGUGUUGGCAAGUGUUCCUUUUCAGCCUAGGGCAGCAGCAGGGAUUUCUGGUUACUUGUGAUGACAAGUGUUUCUCUUCACCCUGUAGCGGCAGCAGGGACUUCUGGUUACUUGGGGUCAUAAGUGUUCCUUGUCACCCCAGAGCAGCAGCAGGCACUUCUGGGUACUUGUGGUCACACGUGGUCUUCUUCACCCUGGAGCUACAGCAAGGAGCUACAACUUUCUGGUAAGUUGUGCUGGCAAGUGUUCCUCUUCACCCUGGAGCUGUAGCAGGGACUUCUGGUAAGUUGUGCUGGCAACUGUUCCUCUUCACCCUGGAGCUGUAGUAGGGACUUCUGGUUACUAGUGGUGGCAAGUUCUUUUUGUCACAAUGGACCUGCAGCUGGGACAUCAAGUUAUUGGUGAUAGGAAGUGUUCUUCUUCAAACGGUUGCUGCAGCUUGGACCUCUGUUUAGUUGUGAUGGCCAAGGGGUCUCUCCACUUCUAAGCUACACUUGGGCCAUCUGCGUAGUUCUGAUGGCAAAGGGCUCAUUCUCUCCUGGAGCGAUAAAUGAGACCUCUACUUUGUUUUGAUAGCAAAGACCUCUCUCCACCCCUAAGCUGCAGCUGCGUCCUCUGCAUUUUUCUUAGGGAAAUUGGUCUUCUUCACCCAGUAGCUACAGGAAAGAUUUCUGGUAACUUUUGAUGGCAAGUGGUCCUGUUCACCCUGUAGCUGCAGCAGGGACUUCUGGUAACUUGUGAUGGCAAGUGGUCCUCUUCACCCUGGAGCUGCUGCAGGGACUUCUGGUAACUUGUGAUGGCAAGUGUUCCUCUUCACCCUGGAGCUGUAGCAGGGACUUCUGGUAACUUGUGAUGGCAAGUGUUCAUCUUCACCCUGGAGCAGCAGCAGGGACUUCUUAUAACUUGUGAUGGCAACUGUUGUUCUUCACCCUGGAGCAGCAUCAAGGACUUCUGUUAACUUGUGAUGGCAAGUGUUACUCUUCACCCUGGAGCAGCAUCAAGGACUUCUGUUAACUUGUGAUGGCAAGUGUUACUCUUCACCCUGGAGCUGCAGCAGGGACUUCUGUUAACUUGUGAUGGCAAGUCUUCCUCUUCACUGUGGAGCAGCAGCAGGGACUUCUGGUUACUUGUGGUGGAAAGUUCUUUUCGUCACACUGGACCUGCAACUGUGACUUACAGUUGUUGGUGAUAGGAAGUGUUAUUCUUCAAAUGGGCGCUGCAGCUUAGACCUCUGCUUAGUUGUGAUGGCAAAGGCCUCCCUCCACCCAUAAGCUGCAGCUGGGACAUCUGUGUAGUUGUGAUUGCAAAGGCCUCUCUCCAUCGUGGAGCUGCAGCUGAGACAGUUUCUUUGUUGUGAUGGCAAAGGCCUCUCUACACCCUAAGCUGCAGCUGCAUCCUCUGCAUUUUUCUUAGGGCAACUGGUCUUCUUCUCCCAGUAGCUGCAGGACAGAUUUCUGGUAACUUUUGAUGGCAAGUGGUCCUCUUCACCCGGGAGCUGCAGCAGGGACUUCUGGUAACUUGUGAUGGCAAAUGUUCAUCUUCACUCUGGAUAAGCAGCAGGGACUUCUUGUAACUUGUGAUGGCAAGUGUUCCUCUUCACCCUGGAACUGCAGAAGGGACUUCUGGUAAGUUGUGCUGGCAAGUAUUCCUCUUCACCCUGGAGCAGCAGCAGGGACUUCUGGUAAGUUAUGCUGGCAAGUGUUCCUCUUCACCCUGGAGCAGCAGCAGGGACUUCUGGUAAGUUGACCUGGCAAGUGUUCCUCUAUACCCUGGAGCUGCAGCAGGGACUUCUGGUAAGUUGUGCUGGCAAGUGUUCCCUUUCACCCUGGAGCAGCAGCAGGGACUUCUGGUUACUUGGCGUCAUAAGUGUUCCUCGUCACCCUAGAACAGCAGCAGGGACUUCUGGGUACUUGUGGUCACACGUGGUCUUCUUCACCCUGGAGCUACAGCAAGGAUUUCUGGUAAGUUGUGCUGACAAGUGUUCCUCUUCACCCUGGAGCAGCAGCAGGGACUUCUGGUUACUUGUGGUGGCAAGUUCUUUUCAUCACACUGGACCUGCCGCUGGGACUUCCAGUUAUUGGUGAUACGAAGUGUUCUUCUUCAAACGGGAGUUGCAGCUUGCACAUCUGCUUAGUUGUGAUGGUAAAGGCCUCUCUCCAUCCCUAAGCUGCAGCUGAGUCCUCUGCAUUUUUCUUAGGGCAAUUGGUCUUCUUCACCCAGUAGCUGCAGGAAAGAUUUCUGGUAACUUUUGAUGGCAAGUGAUCCUCUUCACCCUGCAGCUGCUGCCGGGACUUCUGGUAACUUGUGAUGGCAAGUGUUCAUCUUCACUCUGGAUAAGCAGCAGGGACUUCUUGUAACUUGUGAUGGCAACUGUUGUUCUUCACCCUGGAGCAGCAUCAAGGACUUCUGGUAACUUGUGAUGGCAAGUGUUCCUCUUCACCCUGGAACUGCAGGAGGGACUUCUGGUAACUUUUGAUGGCAAGUGGUCCUGUUCACCCUGUAGCUGCAGCAGGGACUUCUGGUAACUUGUGAUGGCAAGUGGUCCUCUUCACCAAGGAGCUGCAGCAGGGACUUCUGGUAACUUUUGAUGGCAAGUGGUCCUGUUCACCCUGGAGCCGCAGCAGGGACUUCUGUUAACUUGUGUUGGCAAGUGUUCGUCUUCACCCUUGGACAACAGCAGUGACUUCUGGUUACUUGUGAUGACAAGUGUUCCUCUUCACCCUGGAGCAGCAGCAGGGACUUCUGGUUACUUGUGUUAGCAAGUUCUUUUCAUCACACUGGACCUUGCCCUGGGACUUCCAGUUAUUGGUGAUAGGAAGUGUUCCUCUUCAAACGGGAGUUGCAGCUUGCACAUCUGCUUAGUUGUGAUGGCAAAGGCCUCUCUGCAUCCCUAAGCUGCAGCUGCGUCCUCUGCAUUUUUCUUAGGGCAAUUGGUCUUCUUCAACCAGUAGCUGCAGGAAAGAUUUCUGCUAACUUGUGAUGGCAAGUGUUCCUCUUCAUUGUGGAGCAGAAGCAGGGACUUCUGGUAACUUGUGAUGGCAAGUGUUCAUCUUCACCCUAGAGCAGCAGCAGGGACUUCUUGUAACUUGUGAUGGCAACUGCUGUUCUUCACCCUGGAGCAGCAUCAAGGACUUCUGGUAACUUGUGAUGGCAAGUGUUGCUCUUCACCCUGGAGCUGCAGCAGGGACUUCUGGUUACUUGUGGUGGCCAGUUUUCCGCUUCACUGUGGAGCAGCAGCAGGGACUUUUGGUAACUUGUGAUGGCAAUUUCUUUUCGUCACACUGGACCUGCAGCUGGGAUUUCCCGUUAUUUGUUAUGGCAAGUUUUCUUCUUCCAACGGGAGCUGCAGCUUAGAACUCUGCUAGGUUGUGAUGGCAAAGGCCUCUCUCCAUCCUGGAUCUGCAGCUGGUACCUCUGCUUGGUUGUGAUGGCAAAGGCCUCUCUGUAUCCUGGAGCUGUAACUGAGACCUCUACAUGGGUUUGAUGGCAAAGGCCUCUCUCUACCCUGGAGCUUCAGCUGCGUUCUUUCCAUUUUUGUGAUGGCAAUUGGUCUUCACCCAGUAGCUGCAGCUGGGCCUUCUGGUUACUUGUGAUGGCAAGUCUUCCUCUUCUCCCUGGAGCUGCAGCAGGUACUUCUAGUAACUUGUAAUGGCAAUUGUUCUUCUUCACCCUGGAGUAGCAGCAGGGACUUCUGGUUUCUUGUGAUGAUGGGAAGUGUUCUUCAAAUGCAAACUGCAGCUGGGACCUCUGCUUGGUUGUGAUGACAAAGGCCUCUCUCCACCCCAGAGCUGCAGCUGGGACCUCUGCUUCAUUUUGAUGGCAAGUUCUCCUCUUCCCCCUGGAGCAGCAGCAGGGACUUCUGGCUACUUGUGAUGGCAAGUUCUUUUCUUCACCCUGGACCCGCAGCUGGGAAUUCUGGUGACUUGUGAUGCAAAGUGUUUUUCUUCUAACUGGAGCUGCAACUGGGACCUCUGGUUUGUUGUGAUGCCAAAGCCCUCUCUCCGUCCCAUGGCUGCAGCUGGGACCACUACUUGCUUGUGAUGGCAAGUGCUCCUCUUCACCCUGGAGCUUGUUACAGGGAAUUCUAGUUACUUGUGAUGGCAAGUGCUCCUCUUCACCCUGGAGCAGCAUCAGGGACUUCUGGUAACUUGUGGUGGCAACUGUUGUUCUUCACCCUGGAGCAGCAGCAGGGACUUCUGAUUAAUUGUGAUGACAAGUGCUCUUCCUCACCCUGGACCCACAGCUGGGACUUCUGGUUACUUGUGAUGGGAAAGUGGUCUUCUUCAAACUGGAACUGCAGCCGAUACCUCUGCUUUGUUGUAAUGGGAAAGGCCUCUAUGCACCCCUGAGAUGCAGCUGGGACUAUUGCUUUUUUUGUUAUAGCAAGGUCUCUUCACCUAGUAGCUGCAGGGGGGACUUCCUCUUCCUUGUCAUCAUGCUGGCAGGUGCUCCUCUUCACCCUGGAGCAGUAGCAGGGAAUGUGUUUACUUGUGAUAACAAGUGAUCGUCUUCACUCUGGAGCUCCAGGUGUUACCACCAGUUUUUUGUGAUGGCAUUGGCCUCUCUCCCCCUUUGUGUGAAACUGGUAAUGUCUACCGUGCCCACACAGAGCUGCCCCUAAUCACCUUUUUAGCAGUUGUCUAAUACUUGGUUUCUUGGCAGUGAAAACUUUAAGAAAUGUGACAACUAUUCCUGCAGCUAUCACUGUGCCUCCCGUCCUCCAAGAUCCAUAGUAAGUGCCCUUCCCUUUGCCUUCUGAGCCAGUGACCCAAACUUCUCCUCACCUCAAACAUUUUUUUCAGCUGGACAAACUUUUUCUUUGUAUGGCACUUCAGAAUUUGAUUAUUUGAUAUUUUCAAGUUUUUUGGAAAGGCAAGUUGGUAGAGUUCCACUGGAAUGUUCUCUCUGUUCCACCAUCUUGGGGUUUUUUAGGGGGUGCAAGAACUUCCACUCCUGAAACAAAUUAAAACAGUUCCCCAAAAGAGGAGCACUAGGGAAGAUUAGGAGGAAGCAGUGAUCUACUUCCACAAAUUCACCUGAGUAUUCUUUAUCAAUUACACUUGAAGAAUAUGUCUGAGCUGGCCAGCCAUGAUCAUAAUUUAGUAGUGUUUCUUUCAAGAAAUUGUUAAUAUGAUUGAACACUGGAUGCAAUAGCUAGGAAUGCUGGGUUCUAUUCUUGAGUCUUGCUCUUAGCUUUCUGUCAAAGUUUUCCGAGAUGUAAAGGCUUCACUUUAGGGAAAAUGGAAACCCAGAACAACUGGAUUGAAUCUCUGGGGAGUUCAUAGACUGGAAAACGAAAGAGAACUUGCCCAAAUCCAUGAGGCAUUCUCAAGUAAUUUAGAAUUCUAAUGGCACUGGCAGUGUUGAGCAGCAGCAGCAAUGUCCCUUUGUGACCAUGGGCCAUGCUUUCUCUGUAGAUUUGACUUUGGAUUACUU
rnacentral:lncRNA from 1 species